rnacentral:rRNA from 1 species
UACGAAGGGGGCUAGCGUUGCUCGGAAUUACUGGGCGUAAAGGGCGCGUAGGCGGCACUGUUAGUCAGGCGUGAAAUUCCUGGGCUCAACCUGGGGACUGCGCUUGAUACGGCAGAGCUAGAGGAUGGAAGAGGCUCGCGGAAUUCCCAGUGUAGAGGUGAAAUUCGUAGAUAUCGGGAGGAACACCAGUGGCGAAGGCGGCGACCUGGGCCAAUAUUGACGCUGAGGUGCGAAAGCGUGGGUAGCAAACAGG